rnacentral:pre_miRNA from 1 species
GAUUUCAAUUGAAAAUGUCAUGAACAUCAAAGUUGUAUAACUCAUCAAUAUAUAUAACUUUUAUUUUUGUCAUUUCUUCAUCCAAUAAAGUGAUUUGUAACAUUGUUCACAAAAUGUAUAUAUCUCUGACAUAUAGUUUAUAAACUAUAAGAGAUAUAUGUAAAUUUUGUGAACAAUGUUACUAUCGCUUUAUCGGAUGAACAAAUGACUAAAAUAAAAGUUAUAGAUAUUGAUGAGUCAUACAACUUUCAUGUUGAUGAAUUUUUCAGUUGAAAUC